GGCAGAGCAGGAGCCCUCCGUGGCAGUGCUUGGGUGGCGGGGCUCUGAGGCUCCGGUCUGACCUCUCCACGGGGUCGACGGGAACGUCUCCGGAUGCCAGGAGUCGCAAAGGGCCGACCAGGAUGAGGAAACCCCAGGCGGAGUCCGGGGGAAGCAGCACGGCAUCCCAGCCUCAGGCCUGCCCGGACGCUGUUGGGGUAAGAUUGGGGAAGAUGCCAGGUGAUAGAAUCCACCCUGCCUCUGACAGCAUCCAAUCUGGAGCAAAGGCUUCUUUCAACCCUCCCCCAAGCUUCCAAUACAAGCCCAAAUUCUGGAACAAAUCCUUUCCAACACCUCCUUCAGAGAAGCUCCCUGGCUCCAGGCAGUGCUUGCUCCCCUCCCUGCAGCAGGGAGCCCAGCUUGCGAGCUGCAGGUGUGCUCCAGGUGGUCACUGGAUGCAGGGUAUUGACAGAUGGAUCCCAUCGAUACCCCCACUGCAUAACCAUGUACCACUACCAGCUAUUGGGCAGGGAGACCUCCUGCUGCUGCCCAUCCUAGGGUGCAUCCUCCAACAUGGGUGCAUUGUGGUUCAGCCAGCACCUACACUACCUGCAGCCCAGGGCUCCUGUGGUGGGCCUGAGGUUCCUCCCUAUCAAAUGGAGAUGUGCUGGGGUUGCUGCCUUUGCUGAAGCCCAUGUCCAGGGGUCUCCGUCCAGUGACCACACACGCCUGGCAUGCAAUAGGCGCCUCAUCCACAUCUGGUGAAAGAGUGGAAAGCAGAGUGCAGUGAAUAGAAGACACUUCUCUGCACCCCAAAAGCUCCAUGCUGAUUGCGAGAAGGAAAUGCUGGAUGGAGGGGUUCCUGGAACUACUGUGAGGGAAAUGGUGAGAGAACUUUGGAUGUGGAACGUGGAGGAGGAACACGAAGUGAGGAUCUGCACUUGGGAUGCUCAACACUGCGGAUGCCCAGCAAAGGCACUGCCCGGUCCACCUCCCGGAGGGGUCUCUGUGCCUCAGUCGGCAUCGCAGCUGAUGGUGAAACUUUUGGUGUGGCAGAAGAGUGUCCACAAACUUUGGAAGGUAUCCGCUGCAUCCUCCAUGGCAGUGUAUGCCUGCCGAGGCCGAUCUUCUCGGGGAGCGGAAAGUCUCGUUGGUGGGCCAGGGCUGGCUGGCUGGAGCCACUUGGGCGGCGCAGCCCUGGCGGAGGUUCAGGCGGCCCCGGUGUCGCAAGCGGCUGUGAGUGAUGCCUCUUUGGGGCCGGAGGGGUCCCAGGAAGGCUGCAGACCAGGGCUGAACAGCGGGCAGCAUGGUGGACGCGAUGGAAGGUGACCGGGUUCGCAGCGCCAGGGGGCCCAGCAGACCCCGAGCCCGGGCAUCCCGCAUCGCCAGCAGCACCGCGGGGAGGCCUGGCGCUGGUGACGCGGCGGCCACUGCACGAGGCCCACGACCCAGUCCCAGAGGCCAGCCCAUCGUCAGCUAACAUCAGGAACCCUGGGCCAGCUGAGGCCCGGGCCCCAGGGGCAAGACAAAGGGCAGAGGCUCCGCAGGCGGGGCCAAGAGCCGGCAGCGCAGGCCUGGCUCCACCGCCGCGGAGCUCGCAGGGCGCAGCAGGCACCGGGCAGCAACCAAGGCUUCCAGAGGAGGCUGUGCACCCCCGCAAAGGCUCCUGCCCGGCGUCCAGCCUCUCCGCGGGGACUCCACGUGCAACACCUCCUCAUUGUCCUUGUCUAGGGCCGAGACAAGGUCCUCGCUCCCAUGGCGCGACUCCGGGGGCGCAGGAGCCUAGGCUGAGCAGGUGGAGUAGGGUGAGCACCGCCAAGAACCCAACGAGAGUGGCGCCCCAGGGCGGCACAGGAGGCCGCAUUUAACGUGUCAAUCAUCUCAAAGAUUUUAUGACAUCUUCUUUUUUGACAUCUUAUAAUAUCUAUAAUGUUUAUUAUAUCUUGUGAUAUAAUUAUUAACACCACUUCAUUGUGAUUAUUAUGAUUAUUUUUAUACCAACAAAUCUUCAAUUAUUAAUAUUCCCAGUUGCUAAAGAAAAAUGAAAACGACUAGUUUUGAAAGCCUUACUUCUGCCAAUGGAAGCACAUUCCAGCAUGUCGCCAAUGCAAUCCACUUUCCACCACUUUCAGAAGAAACCUUACUGCAAAAUUAUACUAUCCUACCCUUAUAUACUUUGUGUGUGUGUGUACUUGUAUGUAUGUACAUUAUAUAUGUAAUAUAUAUAUAUAUAUAUAAAGUAUGCCAGAGAUGAACAAGUAUUAGAAAAUUAAAUGCACACAGGUCAUGUCAGUGCUAUGUAUAAUGUGGUGUACUAAGUAUAGAUGUUCAACAGUGUGGAAUAUAGGCUGGAACAAGACUUCUAGUCUUAAGCAAUUCUUUCUAGGUUCAGUCUCUGGAAAUAAUGCUCUGUAUCAAAUGUGCGAGGAAACUAAUGGGUUUUAAAGACUAUUCUAUGUCAACUAUAACAUUUCAUUUGGGGAUUUCUGUCCCUUAUAAUAUCUACCUCAUUUUGGAUGGAUUCCUUGAGGCCUGGUUUAUUUUUCUUUUCCUUUCUACACAUCGCUGCUUAGAGUGAUGAAUGGAGUUGUAUUUUGAAUAAAAUAGCUAAG